GGGCCGGUGGUCUAGCCUGGUUAGGAUACCGCCUUGACAUGGCGGGGGUCGCGUGUUCAACUCACGUCCGGCCCACCA
rnacentral:tRNA from 1 species